UUUACUGCAGCCUUUUGAAGAGGCAUCUGCUGUCAACCCCAUCCAGAUAAAAAAUGCAAGCAGCAAAUGUCAUGAACACUGUGUACCUUAGACACACUGCCAGUCAUCUGAAAUGAGCAUUCUUCUCACAGGACGGCUGAGGUGUCUUCAGUGUCCAUCUGCUCAAACCCUUGCCUGCGCGGGGACACUCAAAGGACUGUCCAGGCAGCUUCUGAAGAUCUCUGUGGAGGAGACACCAUAGCUUCCCUGGACAACCUGUGUCAGUGCUCCAUCAUCUACAUAACACAGAAGUGCUGCUUGAUUUUCAGUGGGAACUUCCUCUAUUUCAUUUUGUUUCUCAGGGCCCACUGGAAACAAAUGAAAAGAAUUGUAAGAGUGGUUCUGUCUCCUUUGCACCCAUUCUUCAGAUAUUCAUAAAUGUUAAUGAAAUCAUCCCUGAAUCCCUGUUUAGCUCCAGGCUGAACAGUCCCAAAUCUUUCUGCCUCUCCUCACAGGAGAGGUGCUCCAAUCUCUUCCGUAUCUUCAUGGCCCUUCUCAGAAGUCUGUAUCUUCUCCAGUAUGCCUACAUCUCUUGUGUGGGGGAUCACAGCAUAGGACCUACUGGUGUGACCUCACAGGUGCUGGGUAGAGGGGACCUUCCCCAUUGCCUUGACACAGCCCAUGGUACCACUAGCUUUCUUCAUAGCAAAGGAACAUUGGUGGCUCCUAUUCAGCUUAAUGUCCACCUCACACAUCCAGGUCCUUCUGUGCUAAGCUGCUAACUUUUAGCAAUUUUAAGCACAAGGAGGCUUUCCAACUAUUGAUGUUACUGAAGACUUCCAUGCUUCUUGGAGAAAUGACCAACAAAGCAUUCUCUGAACCUUUCAGGCAGCUGGUAGGCUCAUAGUCCAUGUGGAACUGAUAACAAACAGCCAGAUGUAUAAUCCUGGAGCAAGCUGUCAAGUAGGGUCAUUAAAACAGCUAACAGCGCACCUCUCCCUUAUCAAACAGUAGGGCUGAGCUAGUGAGAAUAGGCAGGGAGAGGUCAGACCAUGGAUGAGUAGAUCUAAACACAAGACAUAGAAGGGUGUGGAGAAGGGCACCUAGGAGGUACAUACACAGGUACUGCACUAACGCUGUCCUGGCCUGCUGAGACAGCUAACCCCAAGUUGCCUCGAGUGAGAAGCGACAUUCUCCACUCUGCCCUGUAAACACUGCCUGCCAGCUCCUGUUUUGUGCUCGCGGUGACGACGCCUCACACCCGCAG